GUUUUGAUAGCACUCUGUUUUGUCAUAAAUCCAUCAAAUUCUAUUGGACUUUUCCAGUUCUUUACCAGUAAAUUAUGUUUCUGUAUGUAGGAUAACUAAUCCCUUAUUAUAGAGACAGUGUUACAUGUAUUUACAAAAUCAUGUAAGUUCCAUCGAGAUUGUAUUGACUUUUUUGUAUUUUUCCCAAAAUAGUACUUUGAAUUGAUAGUUCUUUAUGCAAUGUCUUAGCAAUAGUCACUAUAAUGCCCAUCCAGGAGAAGUGGGUAGUAAUUCUUCAUCAUGAAAAUGAUAUAUUACAUAUUUAGUAUCUUCCCUUUGCAGUAUUGCACUUUUGUUUAACUAGAAUACACCUAUGAGAUAGCCAAAGUUUUUCAAACACAGUUAACUUAGUUUGCAGGUGGGGUAUUUCAACACCAUCCAUAUUUCCCUCUCUCCCUCUAGUUCUACCCACAUAAUCUUUAUUCCUUUCUUUCCCCCAAUUAAAAAAAAAAAGGGAAAAAAAAGCCCUAGAUCUUGUCACUAAAAAUCUAAUUUAUAUCAAAUUUAUGAGAUAAAGUAUUUUCCUAAGUAUGAUCAAAUGAAUUUGGUUAACAUCUUAGUGAUUCUCUUUCUAUGUAAUAAGGCAAUUGCAGUUGUCAAAGCAUUAAGGCUAAUACUAACUUUAAACUUUCUCUUGGGUUUCAAGACACUUCUAUUUAGUAUUGAUUGGGGAAAAGUUGUCCAGCUGUCAGCUUAAAAAAAUGCAAAUAUGGUUGUGUAAAGUUAAGGGUUAUAAGGAAAAAAAAAAUCAGUAGAAUUACAUAAUACUAAAGUUGCAGUUGAAAGGAUAUCCAAGUAUGUGUUGGUAGUUACUAAAAGAAUUAUAGCUGUUAUUGCCUUGUAUUUAUAGCCCUUGUUUCAGGUUUCAUGAUUCAAGUCUUAGUCCAAUUUUUCUUUUGGACAUUUGCAAUAUUUACCAGUUGUGUUUUGUGUAGUCUGAAUUUGCUUUCUGUAGUUGAGCAAACGUCUUAAAAAGUCAUUUGUAAUUUAUUAAAUUACUUUCUAUGAUGUUCUAUAGAGCAAAUGGAAGUUUAAUUAUUUUUUAUUAAACAUAUUCUUUGACUACCCAUGAUGUCAGCCUCUGUACAUGACAAUACUCCUUUUUCUAACUGACUUUUGUCUGUAAUUUAUCUUAAUUCAUUUGUGAAAGCAACCAUAGUCCUAAAUCUCUAAAAGGAAAGUAUACCUCGGAAGAAUUUUUAAAAGACAGAAGUUGGCCAUAACUAUAUCCACAAUAUCAUUAUUUCCUUAAGUUUUCUUCUCCUGACCUUUAAAAUUGUCCAGAAAGAUGUACAUAACCUCAUAAAGGAGUAUGUUUUGGAUAUGUGAUUAUUUCUCCCCUUGGUCUCAAGAGUCUUUCCUAAUUCAUCACUAUUGUUUUCAGUGUUUUUGUAAACAUGAAAGAAAUUUAGUAUUACCCUAAUUAGAAAGGUAGAACAGUAGAGUCUCAUCAUGCACUCAUUUAACUUAGAACCCAUUCAACUAUACUUUCAUGCUUAGGAAAACUUUGUUUUUGUACAAUAUAGCAUGUAAACACAAGCCAAAUACUUUGUCUAGUGCUCACCCAGAGGAACAGUAAUCUAUCUGUACCAGUGCUAGAGGAAGAACUGGCUAUGUUAGAUGUUUUUGAAAGAAGAUACACUAUGUACAAAACAAUGUAUUCUGUAGUUUGUGAGCUAUAGGAGAGAGAGUGAUUUUUUGACUACAGGUAAAUGUUCAUCUUCUGCAACAAAUUUAGAACUUAGUCUCUCCAUAAAUACAACUCCAGCACAUAAGCUAUUUAUUUUAAAAUGCAGAAAAGCACAAAGAAAAAAUACUGAAAUCAUCAUAAACCCACACUGAGAUAAAUACUGUUCAUACAGACAUCCAGUGUUUUUAUAUGUGUGUUAUCUACAUGUAGUGGGUUGAAUCGUGUCGUACAAAAAUUUAUUCAACCCAAAACCUCAGUAUGUGACCUUAUUCGGAAAUAGGGUCCUAGCGUGUGUAAUUAGUUAUGAUGCCAUUAUACUAGUCGGGGUGGGCCCCAAGUCCAAUGACUGGUUCCUGAUAACAAGAGAGGACAAAGGGAAGAAAGUCAAGGGCCAGGCAGCAGAGAUUGGAGUAAUACAGAUGCAAGCCAAGGAACACCCCAGGAUUGUCAGCAAUGCCAGAAGCUAGGAGAGCAGCAGAUUCUCCUUCAGAGCCUCCAGAAGGAAGCAAGCUGGCCAACACCUUGAUUUUGGACUUCUGGCCUGAAUUGUGGGAGAAUAAAUUUCUGUUGUUCUCAGCCACUCUGUUUGUGAUAAUUUGUUAUGGUAGCUCUAGGAAACUUAGACAAUACAUCUUCAUGUAAAAUAUUAUUUGGGACAUAAUAUUUACUGUUCUGCCCUUAAUAUACUGACCUAUGUCAUAAGUACCCUGCGUUGUGAUGCUUAAUACAUAGUAUUGUCUCAUGUCUACGUAAGAUGUAACUUAUCUAUGUACUUAAAAAUGGACAUUUGAGUUUCUAUAUGCAUCUUUUGCAUUAAUCCCUAUGACUUCCUUAAUCCCUAGAAGUGAAAUUACUUCCUCUGUUUUUAAGGAUUUUGAUUUGUGUUGCCAAGUUUACAACGAUGCCAUUAGUAGCAAUUUAUACUACCACAGCAGCAUACAUUUUGUGCAUGCUCACCCCAAAAUCUUACCAAUACUGUGUAUUGUCUUUUGAAGUAAUCUUUGCCAAAUUAAUAGGCAAAAGUACCAUCUUGAUGAAUUUUUAAAUUAUUCUUCCUUUUUCUUACUAAAAAAUAAGACAUACAUAUUCUAGAAAAUUGGGGGAUGGGGCAUUGAGGAGGAGGAAUUGGGGAAGCACAAAAUAAACCACCACCACCACCACCCCCCCCACCAUGAUGUUGAAUGCUCAGAGAUAACUGUUAACCUUUGGGUCAUUUUUCUUUGCAUAUACAUAUUAUAUAUUAUUAAGAAUGGAGUUAUACUGUACAUACCACUUUGUAACCUCUUUCAUUUAUUAUAUAUCAUGAUAAUUUUUUCCAUGUCAUUAAAGAAUCUUUCACAGCAUUUUUAAGGACUUUCUCAUUCCACUAUACAGAUGCAAAAUUAUUUAGUGCCCAAUUAUUGAGCAUUUAGAUAUUUUUCAGUUUGAGGCUAUUUAAGCAAUGAUAUGUUUGUAGUUAGAUCUUUUCAUACACUUAUGAUUUUUUUUCAUUAAAAUAAAUACCUAGGCAUGAAAUAGGUAUGUUUGAAUUUUAAGACCAGUUGGAUUGUAUUGUUUUCUACCCCAACAGCAGAGCAUUAAACUACUUCCUUUUCCGUGUCUCUUUAGCAACCCUGGGCAUGAAAAUAUUUUUUAAUCUUUGUCAAUUUGAUAUACAAAGAAAUAGAUUCUUAUUUUAGUUUACAUUUCUAUAUUAGCAAUAUAAAGUCUUUCGUAUCUCUUCAUAAGGCCAUUUGUAUUCUGUGUAUUAACUGUUCAUGUUCUCUGUGCAAUAUCUGUUAAAUAAGUGGUAAAUAUUUU
rnacentral:lncRNA from 1 species